rnacentral:rRNA from 1 species
GUGCCAGCCGCCGCGGUAAUACCGGCAGCUCAAGUGAUGGCCGAUCUUAUUGGGCCUAAAGCGUCCGUAGCUGGCCUCGCAAGUCCGUCGGGAAAUCCAUCAGCCCAACUGAUGGGCGUCCGGCGGAAACUACAAGGCUUGGGACCGGAAGGCUCGAGGGUACGUUCGGGGUAGGAGUGAAAUCCUAUAAUCCCGCACGGACCACCGAUGGCGAAAGCACUUCGAGAAAACGGAUCCGACAGUGAGGGACGAAAGCUAAGAUCGCGAACCGGAUUAGAAACCCUGGUAGUCC